rnacentral:rRNA from 1 species
UUAGAGUUUGAUCCKGGCUCAGAAUCAACGCUGGCGGCKUGCCUAACACAUGCAAGUCGAACGGGAAAGUGGAGCAAUCCAUGAGUAUAGUGGCGACCGGGUGAGUAACACGUGACUAACCUACCUUCGAGUGGGGGAUAACCUCGGGAAACCGGGGCUAAUACCGCAUAACAUCUUCGUUAUGAGAAAGCGGAGAUCAAAGGAGCAAUUCGCUGGAAGAGGGGGUCGCGGCUGAUUAGCUAGUUGGUGGGGUAACGGCCCACCAAGGCUUUGAUCGGUAGCCGGCCUGAGAGGGCGCACGGCCACACUGGAACUGAAACACGGUCCAGACUCCUACGGGAGGCAGCAGUGGGGAAUUUUGCGCAAUGGGGGAAACCCUGACGCAGCAACGCCGCGUGGAGGAUGAAGUCCCUUGGGACGUAAACUCCUUUCGACCGGGAAAAUUAUGACGGUACCGGUGGAAGAAGCCCCGGCUAACUUCGUGCCAGCAGCCGCGGUAAUAC